rnacentral:rRNA from 1 species
CAGAACGAACGCUGGCGGCGCGUUUAAGCAUGCAAGUCGAGCGGCAAGGGCCUUCGGGCCCCUAGAGCGGCGGACGGGUGAGUAACACGUGGACAAUCUGCCCCCCGGCCCGGGAUAGCCCAGGGAAACCUGGAUUAAUACCGGAUGAGACGGGACCCGCGAUGGCGGGAUCCGGGAAAGGCGCUGCGGCGCCGCCGGGGGAUGAGUCUGCGUCCCAUUAGCUAGACGGCGGGGUAACGGCCCACCGUGGCGACGAUGGGUAGCCGGCCUGAGAGGGUGGACGGCCACAUUGGAACUGAGACACGGUCCAGACUCUUACGGGAGGCAGCAGCUAAGAAUCUUCCGCAAUGGGCGAAAGCCUGACGGAGCGACGCCGCGUGAACGAAGAAGGCCGUGAGGUUGUAAAGUUCUUUUCGGGAGGGGGAACAACCGUGGCAGGGAAUGGCCGCGGGAUGACGUGAAUCCCGGAAUAAGCCCCGGCUAACUACGUGCCAGCAGCAGC